rnacentral:rRNA from 1 species
GUACCUACGGGGGGCAGCAGUGGGGAAUAUUGCACAAUGGGGGAAACCCUGAUGCAGCAACGCCGCGUGAGUGAAGAAGUAUUUCGGUAUGUAAAGCUCUAUCAGCAGGGAAGAAAAAAGACGGUACCUGACUAAGAAGCCCCGGCUAACUACGUGCCAGCAGCCGCGGUAAUACGUAGGGGGCAAGCGUUAUCCGGAUUUACUGGGUGCAAAGGGAGCGUAGACGGCAUAGCAAGUCUGAAGUGAAAGCCCGUGGCUCAACCGCGGAACUGCUUUGGAAACUGUUAAG